rnacentral:lncRNA from 1 species
UAGGGAUUCUAUCCCGGGACGACCCGAGAAAUAAUUCCCGGGAAUUUGAUAAAAUUCUCAUGUCUAGUGUCCCAGGAAAAUUUUCUCGAGACUCGGGAAUUUAUUUUUCAAGAUUUAUCCAUUUCAGCUGUGUAAAGUCCCACCGCACUCUCUUUUGGUGCACGCAGCACCAAGGUUGCCAGAUAAUAUCACACCAAUGUCGCCAAAUAUCAGCAAAAAAGUCGCAAAAAAAUCGCCAGCUGGCGGCAAAAAUCCCUAAAUAAACCACUAGAUUAUUUGUAGUUUUUAGAAAGUUACUACAAAUUCUAAUUAAGUAAACAGUUAAAAAUACUACUUAAUUAAGUUUAAAAAAUUACUUUCUAUGAAAAAAUAACUAAAAAAAUGAAAUUAACAGAUAAAGUGAGUUAAUUUCAUUUAACUCACUUUGUUACAUUGCUACAUACUUGGACAGGAGUGAUCAAAUUAGACUUUUUUUGCAUCUUGGACAAAAUUCUCGUUAUUAACAAAUUAAGCUGACAAGUACCGAUUGUGAAAGAGUUUUCUCAGUGGCGGGAAAUUUUGUUUGCAAAACCAGAAGUCGCUUAUCCGAUAAUUCGAUAGACGCGAUAACGUUCUUGAAGAGCCACUUUCUUCACGAGAAGGAGAAAUAAAUUUUUGUUUAAAUUUAAUAGUUAAUUUGUUUUUUUUUUUUUUUUUUCGAUUUUUCGUUUGAUGUUGUAAACCACAUACAACAUUGAGUCUAAAU